GUAGGUGAACCUGCUGCUGGAUUAUUAC
rnacentral:rRNA from 1 species